GCCCUUGUAGCUCAGUGGUGGCACUCCCUAGGUAAGGGAGAGGCCACGUGUUCAAUCCACGUCAAGGGCACCA
rnacentral:tRNA from 1 species